rnacentral:rRNA from 1 species
GACGAACGCUGGCGGCGUGCUUAACACAUGCAAGUCGAACGGAAAGGCCCUGCUUUUGUGCGGUGCUCGAGUGGCGAACGGGUGAGUAACACGUGAGUAACCUGUCCCUGCCUUAGGGAUAUCUUAAGGAAACUGGGGCUCUUACAGGCUAGGAGCUACUGCUGCAUGGUGGGGGUUGGAAAGUUUCGGUGGUUGGGGAUGGAAUCGCGGCUUAUCAGCUGGAUGGUGGGGUAGUGGCUUACCAAGGCUUUGAGGGCUAGCCGGCCUGGGAGGGUGGACAGCCACAUUGGGACUGAGAGACGGCCCAGACUCCAACGGGAGGCAGCGGUGGGGAGUAUUGCACAAUGGGCGGAAGCCUGAUGCAGCAACGCCGCGUGCGGGAUGACGUCCUUCGGGUUGUAAACCGCUGUCGCCUGUGACGAGGCGUGAGUGACGGUAAUGGGUAAAGAAGCACCGGCUAACUACGUG